rnacentral:misc_RNA from 1 species
AAGCAUGCUGGGAAUUUUUGGUGGUUGUACUGUAGCUUAGAUCAAUAGUGGAACAGUACAUUAAGCAAUUUUGCCAUGGAUGAUUAUGGAGCAAAAUGAUUCAUUGCUUAAUCAUAAAUACAUUGAUAUGUUAUCUGUGCUGAUGUUUUUGUUUAAGAAGAAUUGAAAUUAUCAAUUAUUUGACAUCUGGAUCUAUUGAGUUUCUGUAGCUGGCAUGGUCAA